rnacentral:lncRNA from 1 species
AAGAGGUUUAGAAUAAUAAGCUCGACGAAACUUAAUUAACAAUUAAAAAGAUGAAGAGUUUCAAAGAUUAAACUGUUGUAAGGACUGAGAUUUUUUUUUUACAGUGCAACUNUUGGCUGAUGAAUAGUCUAGUUGGUUUAUGUGGUUCAGUGUUCAUUUACAUUUGAAAAUGUGGAUUUCUGGAUUUUGUAAAAUAAAAAGUUUUCUACCCCUCGUGGUAGCAUUUUUAAAGAAUGAAGGUUCCUGUGUAGGGAACAGUUUUCAAAGGAUUUUCUAUGGAUUUAUAUUUAGACAUUGAAUGCAUAUCUGUGAUGUGAAUGGUGAAUGUAUGAACGUAUGGUAAUUUCUAUAUUCAUAUAGUUGUGGUUGUAUCCUGUUUGUACUGUUGUACUUGUGCGACGCCGUGCAAAUACAGGGGAGACUCUGUCCGUGUGAACAGUGGAAUCUCUGUAUUUGUGGCGGGUCUGGCAUACUCUGGGGUCAGGAUUUCAAAAAAAAAAAAAAUUUCAAACGCUUUUCCGCUGUGUUUCAAACAAAAAGGGGACCCCGGGGCGUGACAACUGUUCAAAGAAACAACAUAACAUGAAUGGAGUUUCAAAUAAUAAACGAAGGUUUUAAUAUUUGAAAAGAGGAUUUCUCACACGUAGGAAUAAAAUUUUACAAUCUACAAUCAGAUGGGAUCAAAUUGAAAACAAAAUCGAAAUUCGCCCUCUCUUAGGCAUUUUAUCAAAUAGGUAACAGGCAUUCCAAUAAGUAUAUAGAAUAUACAAAAUUUACGCAAUUAAAUCAUAUGGAGAAUACGUGAUAUAAAAUUAAAUAGUUCAAUUCAAACGAUAAAAAUUAGAUCAAAGCAAAUCAGAUUUAAAUAGUUUUCAUUCUAAUCAUCAAGAGAUAAGUAUUCGGAAAUAAUCAUAUAGCCAUGAACAAGAAGGUUAGAUGUUCUCAAGAUUAUAAUAGGGAUAAAAAAAUGAAAGAAACGAACCUUUUCAAAGAUAGUAAUAUCGAUGACAAGAUGCCGUCGACGGCAAACCAAAAAUUCAGAUAGAGAUUAAAGAACACAACUACAACGACGACAGCCACGGAUGACGACGACGAUUAUGGUGAUGAAUGGCGUCGCGUGCGCGUGUGGGAGAGGGGAAGGCGUACGGAUGUGAGUAUGAGAGAGGGUCAGGUGAGAGAGAGAAAGAGAGAGAAAGAAAGGUGGGUAGGGUGGCUAUUACGAAUAGAAAGCAAAAUAGAAUUAGGAAUUAAUUAGAUACAAUAUGUGUCCCUCAACAAUUGAUAAUUACAAAAAGGCCCAAACUUUAAAAGAAUAGGGGUCAAAACAAAAAAAAUAAAGUAUAGGUUGUUACAUUCUCCCCUUUUAAAAAGAAGUAUAGUCCUCUGAACUUAACAUACCUUGGCUCUCGAAGAGCUAAGGAUAUUUCGUCCUCACCUUCUUCUUGAACUUCCAAGUAGCUUCCCAUUUAGAAUGAUUGCUCCACUGGACUAGAAUAAAUCAGAAUAUUGUUUAUGAAGACGACUGCGAACUUAUCCAAGAAAGGUUUGAAAACUCAAUUCAUUAGAUCCAUGAAAGCGGCUGGAGUGUUGGUUAAUCCAAAAGGCAUUACUAGAAACUCAAAAUGCCCAUAAUGUGUGCGAAAAGCAAUCUUGAGUAUAUUUUUGGCUUUGAUCUUCAAUUGAUGGUAUCCUAAACGUAGAUCAAUCUUGGAGAAGACCACUGCACCACGAAACUGAUCAAAUUGGUUGUCAAUUCUAGACAAUGGGUAUCGAUUCUUCACAGUGAUUCUAUUUAGCUAGCAAUAAUCGAUACAUAAUCUUAGAGUACCAUUCUUCUUCUUGACAAAAGCAUAUGAGUGCCCCAAGAAGAGACACUACGUCUAAUGAAUCCUUUGUCCAGAAGUUUCUGAAAUUGCACUUGCAAUUCCUUGAGCUCAACUGGUGACAUUCAGUAAGGCGUCUUCGAAAUUGGAUAUGUUCUUGGAGCUAAAUCAACACAAAAUUCAAUCUUCCUAUCAGGCGGUAGCUCAGGGAGGUCCUCGAGAAAUACAUCUAAAAAUUUAUUUACUACCGAAAUGUCUUCUAAUCUCGAAAUAUUUGAAUUUAGAUCUUUCACUAAGGCCACAAAUCCAGUGCAGCCACUCCUUAAGUGACGAGUAACCUGCAAGCAAGAAAUAAUCGGAAGUGGGUUGUAAGCUCCACUCUCGAGAAAAAUAAAAUCUCCCUCCCCAGGAAUGUUGAUGUCACGCCCCGGGGUCCCUUUUCAGUUUAAAACAAAGCGGAAAAGCGUCUGAGUUUUUUUUUUUUUUUUUGAAAACCUGACCCCAGAGUAUGCCAGAUCCGCCACAAAUACAGGNUCCUGAAACUUGACGAGUGCUUAUGUAAUUAAAUUACACACAUAAACAUCGUCAACAGAGAGUUUAGUUGCACAGUCAAAAAUCUCAGUCCUUACAGUUGAAUGUCACCCAUUUCUCCUGACAAUUUAGAGUAGCAAAAUAGGACGAAAGCCAGUCCAUUCCCAAAAUCACAUCAAAGUCAUGCAUGUCCAUAACAUGGAGGUUUGCCAAUAAACUCUUAUUGUCCAUUUUGACCAUACUCCUACAAACUCGGUCAAUCACAAGCUCCUUCCCCAAAGGCGUAGCAAUGACCGGACCUGCUAGCAAUAAUAACUCGUUGGGCCAAACCACCGGCCCAAAAUACUUUACCCCAGUUAUUAUUACUAGCGUGCGAGGCCUCAUAUUGUCAUGCCCCAGGAUCUCUUCACGUAAAGCUGACUGAAAUAUAGGCAAUUGUUUUUUUUUUAAACCUUGACUCAAGGGAUGACAGAUCCGCCGCAAAUACAGAGAAUUUUCUAUCCACACAAAUAGUCUCCCCUGUAUUUGCACGACGUCACACAUAAUACAAGUCACAAACCACAUCCACUCACAAAUUACAAUUACAACUGUACAUUACAUAAUCCAUAAACAUUCCAUAUCUAUCAGUUGAAGUGUUUCCCAGCUGGAAACUUUAUUUUGAAAUACUAGAGUCUCAAAAGCUAGAAAACCUUUUGAAAACUGUUUUCUACACGAAAACCUCUAAAUUAAUUGUUUGAAAACAAACUAUCUCGAGGUGUAGAAAAUCAUUUACUUCACAUAGAACCCCAAGUGUUUGAAAUACUUUUAUUCAAAGUAUAAAACGAGAUAAUCAUCAUAAACUGAACCACAUAAUAGUCUAAGCAUUGAUAAGAAAAGGGUAAAGAAGGCAACCGCACUACGCUAUCGCCGGAUCUGACAGGACUGUCUAGCUACUACGCCUCACGCACCGUCCCGACUCUCACCAUCCAAGUCACCCAAAAGAGAGGGAGGGUGAGGCCUUAGAUGAAACUCUUGUUGUUUGCAUAAGUUAAUUAUUAUUGUUCAUCGCAUCGUGUUGGGAUGAGAGAGGGGAAGGGGAGAGUGUAGGGAAAAUUUUGAAAUAAUAUAUUUUAUUAUUUAAUUUUUAGUGGAUGGAUACAAUCCUUAGUGAAUAAAUACUACUCUUAAUGAGUGAAUGUGAUUCUAAAUCAAAGAGUGCAACUCUUAGUAGGUGAAUAUAAAAAAAUGUGACUUUUGAUGAAAGGAUUAGUAUGAAAAGACAACUUUACAGUGUGUCACUUCAUGUAUACUAGUGUAGGCCAGCGCUUUGCGGCGGAAAAUUUAUGUAAUUUAUUUAAAAUUUAAAUUUCUAACUCCCUUUUGUUUAAAUCCUGAAAUUUGAAAAUUUAAAUUUUAGAAAAUACAUUUUAUCUUAAUUCAGUUUGUAUAUUUUGAAUAUAUGAUUUUAUAUAGAGUUUUGUUGAAUCCUAAUUUUUCUAAAUUCUAAAGCUUUAUAUGCAUGGAAUAACUCACUUUACAUUUUAAAGAAUAAAAACUUUUAAAUUUUAACUAUUUAACUUUAAAUUUAGGUAGAGAGAGAGAGAGAGUGAGAGAGAGGGGGAGGGUAUAAAAUUUAAAAUCUAAUAUUUGAAAGCUAAAAUUUUAAAUUUUUUAAUUGUAAAAUUGUAAACUUUAGGGAAGCUUCUAUUCCCCAGUUAAUAUAUGUAUAGAUAAUCUAAAUUAUUUUUAAAAAAUUAUAUAGAAAAUAUUAUAUAUUUUAAAAUUUUUAUAAUAAGAAAAAAUAAUUAGAUUUGAUUAUAAAGAAAAAAAGAAAAAGUAAGCUAAAAAAAAAAAUGCUGGCCGGAACCCGCCUCCGCUCCGCUCCUCUGCCCGUUGAUCGCCGGCACCUGGCCGUGCCACGGCUGCGGCGACUCCCCGCGCCCUGAUUAUUCUGGUCCCCCUCCCUACCGGGUUCCUCAUCUCCAGUGCCGUCAAGUAUGCACCUCCGCCAUUGCGGCGGAGCCGAAAUUAAAUCUAAAAUUUUAUUUUUUUGUAUAUGGACCAUAGCAAAAAAAAAAAAAAAAAGAGAGAUUACAGACAGAGGACUGGGUCCCACAGGGAAAAAAGCCAAAAAAAAAAAACGCGCACGGCUAGCAGGUUCGCAUUAGGCUCUGUGCCCGCGCCAGCGUACGCUCACUCGCCGCCCGCGCCCGCCUGCCCGGCCCGUGCCUCCGCCCUCGGCUUGCGCCCUCGACAGCGCCUGCGCCCGCCUUCGCCCGCGCCUUCGGCCCUCCGCUCGUGUCGCGGCAACGCCAGGGCCGCCUCGGCCGCAAGCCCCGUGCCCGCGCAGAGGAAGACCGGACGCGCCCUCGACCGCGCCUGCGCCCCGGCAGGCAUGUGUGCAGAGAGAGAGGAUGAAAUAAAAAAAUAAUAAAAAAAGUUAAGGAAUUAUAAGAAAAAAUGAUUUAUGUUGUUUAACAGUUUUGCCUUAUUCUUCUUUCAUCUAUCAUAUGUAUUUUUUUUUAUUUUUUUUAUUUUCUAAUAUUUUAUUUCUAAAUUUUUUACGUAUUUUUUUAUAUAUUUUUAAUCUUUUUUAUUCAUUUUAAUUAAAAUUUAUAUUUAAUAUAAAUAAUUUAACUAUUAAAAAAUUAUUUAUAUAUUUAAAAUUUUUUAUAAAACAAAUGAAAAUUAGAUCGAAUUUAGAAAAGAAAAUUUGAGGAGAAGAGAGAGAAAAAAAAAACCUCUCUCCCCAGCUGGGCCCCACCCACGCGCGCCAUGGCUGCCGCCGCCGGCGCGUCGCGCCACGCCACACCCGCCCCGCUCCUGGCCCACGCCACGCCGUGCCCGGCCUGCUGCCUGCACGCCCGCGUCUACCGCUCUCGCUGCCAUGGACCCGCGUGCAAAAAGGGGCAAUGAGUCCGACUUUUUGCACUGUAGGUUUUCUUUUUUUCUUUUUUUUUUUGUGCUCGCCUGCCGCACGCCCACGGGCCGAGCCAGUGCCUCCGCCCCGUUCGCGCUCCCGCUCGCGCACGCAGCGCCCACUUGUGUCCGCCUCCGCUGCCAUGUGUGAGGGAGGCGUCCGGGCGCCGGUCCACGCUUGUGCGUGCACGGCGCAGCGGCGAGAGAGAGAGAGAAAGAGGGCGGGAGGGGUGGGGAGAGGAGGAAAGGGUGGAGAGAGAGAGAGACCGGGGAGUGGAGAGAAAAGAGGGGGAGAUGAGAGAAGAGAAGGGAGAGAGAGAGAGCGGGAGGACAGGGGAAGGGGAGGGGGAAGGGGAUGGAGAGAAAAGAGAGGAGAGAGGACAGAGAGUGGUGGAGAGAGAGAGAGCGGGGGGGAGGUUGGGAGAGGAGAGAGAGGGGAGGAGAGAGAGAGACGCAGAGUCGGGGUCGGGGGGGCCCUGCCAUGUACGGGCCAACCCCGCGCCCACGCGCACGCGCGCGGAAAGGGGAGAGAAGAAGAAAGAAAGAGGGAGCGGGGGGAGAAGGGGAAGAAGAGAGAAGAGAGAGGAGAGAGCCAGUGGGGAAGGGGCCCGCAUGUGCGCGACCGCCCCUCGCGCGUCGUGCGCACGCAUAGAGAGAGAAAGAUGAGAGAGAGAGGAGAGAGGGGGGGCGGCGGGCGGGCCUAGUCAUGUGUACGACCACGCCCGGCACCGCGCCGCCCGCCCGUGCCCUUGCACACGACUCGCGCCUGUGCGCGCGCUCGCCGCCCUCGCGUGCCGCGCCACCCGCGCUUACUCCCGCGUGACCUCCGCAUUGCGGCGGAGCGAAAUUAAUCUAAAAUUUAUUUUUUUGUUAUGGACCAUAGCAAAAAAAAAAAAAAAAAGAGAGAUUACAACAGAGGACUGGGGUCCCACAGGAAAAAAGCCAAAAAAAAAAAACUGCGCACGGCUAAGUGUAUCGCAUUAGGCAUCUGUGCCCAGCUGCCAGCGGUACGCACUCCCAGCCCGAGCGACCCGCCUUGCCGCGCCCGUGCCCUCCGACCCUCGGCUUGCAGCCCGAUUCGCAGCGCCUGCGCCCCCUUCGCCCCGCGCCUUCGCCCUCGUCGUGUCCGGCCAACGCCAAGGGCCGGCCUCGGCCGCCAAGCCCCGUGCCGCUGCAGGAACAAAGUACCCGACGACCGCUGCCCUCGACGCGCCUGCGCCCCGCAGGCCAAUGUGUGCAGAGAGAGAGGAUGAACAUAAAAAAAUAAUAAAAAAAGUUAAGAAUUAUAAGAAAAAAUGAUUUAGUUGUUUUACAGUUUUGCCUUAUUCUUCUUUCCAUCUAUCAUAUUUGUUUUUAUUUUUUUUUUUCAUUUUUAAUAUUUUAUUUCUAAUUUUUUACGUAUUUUUUUAUAUAUUUUUAAUCUUUUUUUAUUCAUUCUUAAUUAAAAUUUAUAUUAAAUAAAUAAUUUAACUAUUUAAAAAUUAUUUAUAUAUUUAAUUUUUUAUAAAACAAAUGAAAAAUUAGACGAAUUUAGAAAAGAAAAUUUGAGGAGAGCAGAGAGAGGAUUAAAAAAAAAAAACCUCUCUCUCCCAGCUGGGCCCAUCCCACAAGCGCGCCAUGGCUGCGCCGCGGCCCGGCGCUGUCGCGCAACGCCACACACCCGCCCCGCUCCCUGGCCCAGCCACGGCCGUGCCCCGGCCUGUCUCCUGCACGCCCGCGUCUACCGCUCUCGGCUGCCAUGGCCCGCGUGCAAAAAGGAGGCAAUGAGUCCCGACUUUUUGCCACUGUAGGUUUUCUUUUUUUCUUUUUUUUUUUUUUGUGCUCGCCUGCGCCCACGGCCACGGGCCGAGCCAGUGCGUCCGCCCCAGUCGCCGGCUACCCCGCUCGCAGCCGAGCCCCACUUGUGUCCGCCCCGGCUGGCAUGUGUGCAGGGAUGGGCGUCCGCGCGCCCGGUCUCAACGCUUGUUGCGUCACGCGCGCGAGCGUGAGAGAGAGAGAAGAGGGGGGAGGGUGGGGAGAGAGGAAAGGGUGGAAGAGAGAGAGACCGGGGGUGAGAGAAAAAGAGGGUUGAGGAUGAGAGAAGAGAAGGGAGAGAGAGAGGGCGGAGGGAAGGGGAAGGGGAGGGGAAGGGAUGGAGAGAAAAAGGGAAGAGGAAGAGAGGGGGAGAGAGAGAGAGACCGGGGGGAGGUUGGGAGAGUGAGCAGAGAGGAGGAGAGAGAGAGACGCGAUGGCUGGCGGGGGGGGCGCCUGCACGAUUACGCGCAACCCGCGCCCUACAGCAGCACGACGCGCUGAAAGGGGAGAGAAGAAGAAAGAAAGAGGAGCCGGGGGGAGAGAGGGGAAGAAGAAGAGAAGAGAGAGGAGAGAGCCAGUGGGGAGGGGCCCGCAUGUGCGCGACCGCCCCCUCCGCGGUGCGCACGCUAGAGAGGAAGAGGAGAGAGAGAGAGGAGAGAGCGGGGGGGCGGGCGGGCCCUAGUCAUGUGUACGACCCACGCCGGCACCGGCCGCCCGCCCGUGCCAUUGCCACGACUCGCCGCCUGGCGCGCGCUCGCCCGCCUCUCGCGUGCACGCGCACACUGCCGCGCUUACUCCCGCGUGUUGUGCUCGCCUAGCGCCCACGGCCCGGACGCCGAGCCAGUGCGUCCGCCCCCAGUGCCGAGCACCCCGCAUCGAGCCGGAGCGCCACACUUGUGUCCGCCUCCCGCUGGCAUGUGUGCAGGGAGGGCGUCCGGCGCCGUCGCAACCUUGUGCGUCACCGCGAGGCAGCGGAGAGAGAGAGAAAAGAGGGAGCCGGAGGGGGGGAGAGAGGAAAGGGUGGGAGAGAGAGAGAGCCGGGGGUAGAGAAAAAGAGGGUUGAGAUGAGAGAAGAGAAGGGAGAGAGAGAGGCGGGGGAAGGGGAAGGGGAAGGGAGGGAGAGAAAAAGAGGAAGAGAGACAGAGAGGGGUGGAGAGAGAGAAGAGACCGGGGGGAGGUUGGGAGAGGGAGGAGGAGGAGAAGAGAGAGACCGAGUCGGGGGGGCCCUGCACGAUUACGCGCAACCGCGCCCCUACCAGCAGCACGACGCGCCGAAAGGGAGAGAAGAGAGAAAGAAAGAGGGAGCCGGGGGGGAGAGGGGAAGAGAAGAGAAGAGAGAGAGAGAGAGCCAUGUGGGGAAGGGGCCCGCCAUGUGCGCGACCCCCCCUCCGCGCGUGCGCACGCAUAGAGAGGACAAGAGAGAGAGAGAGGGAGAGCCGGGGGGGGGCGGGGCCCUGUCAUGUGUACGACCGCACGCCGGCCCGGCCGCCCGCCCGUGCCCAUUGCCACGACUCCGCCGCCUGGCGCGCGCUCGCGCGCGCUCUCGCGUGCCCGCCCACACCGCAGCUACUGCCGCGCGUGCCUCGCGCGCUCGCGAAGGGCUCGAAAGGGAGGGGGGACGCUGAGAGGCCGACACGUGGCCACUUUAGAGUUCUCCUUUUAUUAUAUCUAUAUGUUGUCCAUUGAAAUUAAUUUUUACAUUCAUUAAAUUUGGCUUACAUACCUAUUUGGUAGUUAUGAUCAAAUAAAAAGUAAUAAUUGAAAGGUCACUUCAUAAAACACCCGUUUAUAAAGUAUCACUUCAUGAAGUACCCAUUCGUAGUCUAUAUAAGCCUAUAGUGUUGGUUGCUGAAGUACCAGCAGUUGAAAAGUUUAUGUCUCCACUCAUAAUAAUUUCAUUCUUAUUUUCUUAUUCUUUUUUUUUGACAACUUAAUCGAUAGAGUGCUCAAGGACUCAACUUUGUGUGUGCAAACGUAGUUGAGGUUUAUAUUUCAUUGUAUUUUGAGAGGCUGUUUGUUGACCCAGUGCACAUAAAUUUAUUUGAAUGGUGGGAAUGGAUUAAGCUUCAAAGAGAGUGACAUUGCUACACAGGGAUGGAAGUAUGUUGGGACUGAGGGGGAACAUGGCCCCCCCCCCCAAAUUUUUUAUAAUUUGCAUAAUAUUCCUUUUUAUAUAAAAAAUUUUAAAAAUAUUUUUUAUUUAAUUUUAAAAGUAUGAUGAGUAACCUAUGUUUUAUAAAAUUUUGGCGCUAAUAUAAUGCUCUCUCAACUCUUAGUUUAUUUAUUUAUUUUUUAUUUAAUAUCUUCAUAACUUCUAAUUAUUUUAGAUAUUUUUUUAUUUAAUUAAAUUAAAGGUUAUAUUAAAGUUAAUAGCUCUGUCAACUAAUAGUCAUUUAUUGUCACAAUUAAAUUUAGUAAAAAUUAAUAAAUUUAAUCAUUCACUGAAUUACUAUUAGAUUUAGUAAAUGUCAAAGUUAUUUGAGUGAAAUAAUAUAAAUUUCACUCAAAUAUAUUUUUUCAUUCAAAGUUAAGUAACUAUAAAUAAAAAAGGGGUAAUGCUUUUUUACACUAAUUAUUUAAUCAAUAUAUUUUUUUCAUCAAAAAUUUGAUUAUAAAUUUUGUUUAUUUGCUGAAAUUUUGAUUUGUAUGUAUUUUUGGCCCCCCUCGUAAUCAAGUGCUAACUUCGUCCCUGUUGCUACACAUCUUGAAACCUUUGUCGUCUUCCUACUUGAUAUACUUUUUCUACACAAAUUGUUCCAAUAGAGAGUUUUAUGCACAUCACGAUCUAAUCGUAUGCACGUUACGGGGGUAAUCAUGCUACCGGGGUGCUUCCGCUCAACGCCCCAGCAUGAGAAAAAACUGUAACAAUUAACAGCUGACGGCCGAUUGAGUUCUCAAAUUUAAUUUAAUAAAAUUCUUAGUUUAACAAAGUAUAAUAACUUACAUCAAAAAACACAUGGUUAAAAUAUCAGUAACCUCCAUAGAUAAAUAACUUGUCGUACUGCACUUACUAGAUAAAUGAAAUCAUCUCCAUAGAUAAAAAUCUUCAACAAAUUGUACAGCAAAAGAAAAAGUGUGAUGCCCCAACUUUUCAGGGGGGUCAUCCAUCCUAGAACUACUCCCGUCUUAGCACGCUUAACUCUCUUAACCUCUUGGUCUAGCUACCACCUAAAAUGCUUAAGUUAGGUUAAGAGUUUAGCCCUAUUAUAUCUCAUAUAUAGGAUUAUUUGAGUUCUCACAAUCUCCUCUCCUUUAAGCCUUGAUGUACUCGUCAGACUCAAACUCACAAAUAUCAGGCGAUGUGAGACUCGUCUCGCUAGUCUAAACCGACCUUGUAGGGGAGCCGCGUUCUACCCACAACAGUCAACAGUAUGAGAGCCUCGCUCUCUCUACUGUACAAUUCUGGCUCAGCCGAGACGAGUCUCACAUUUCCUAUUGGUAAUUGGCUCUGAUGCCAAUUGUGACGCCCAAACUUUCCACGGGGUCACUCAUCCUAGGACUACUCCCGUCCUAAUACGCUUAACUCUCUUAACCUCUUGGACCUAAGUACCACCCAAAAUGCUUUAGCCGGGUUAAGAGUUUAGCCCUAUUAUAUCUCAUAUAUAGAACUAUCUGGGGUCUCACGAAAAGAGUGAAAUUCGUCACUCAAUUACACCAUUUUCUUCCUCCUCAACCAAAAUCUUUAUUUCCUUGACAGAAGAAUGAUACGGUUACUGAUUUAGGAGCCACAUUAUUUCAGAGAAUGAUAUGGUGAUGAUUUAAGACCUAUAUAAUCACAAGACUAUUACAAUCCAAUAUCGAUCAUCGUGAAGAUACAAUCUGGUGAUUGAAGAGGACAAGGUAGUUGAAUCAUUUGCAACAUCAGCCUUUUCAUUCGAAAAAUUGGAAGAAAAAGAAAAUUCUUAAUUGACAUGGAAAUCAAAAUUUCGUUAAAGUAGGUAAAAAUACUUUACAGGCCAUGGGCAUGUUGUAAAUUAGGUAAAAAUAUAUGGACCACCUCAACUUAUUUUGAAGUGACCUCCUCAAGUUUAUUUUUUAAAUAAAAUUUUAUAUACAAAAAAAUAAGAGUGGAUAGUGAAUUAUUUAUAACUAGUGUAGUGGUCCGCACAUUGCAGCAGGGAUAUAUUGAUGAAGCAAGAAUUCGAAAUAAUGUCGUACAAUAUUAAAAAAAGAGAAGGGAUUAGAGAUAUAUUCCUUUCAAAUCUAUUUAGUAGAUAUAGUACAAUGACACGAACUUUAUAGUGAGUAGAUGCUAUUGUAAAACUAAAGAUAUGUAAUCUACUAAAAUGUAAGAAAAAAAUUAAUAUUUUUACUUGAUGUAUAAAUUCAGUCCAUAUUUAAACAAUGGGCAACAUUCAUUGGUAGAAAAAAUGGCAAAACGAUAAUGCAUUGGACAAUGGGUAGCAUUCAUAAUGAUGAUGGUCUAUCUUCAGUCAACAGAAAAAAAAAUGGAGAAAAAAGGGAAAAAAAACCCAGCCAAUUUGACAAAAAGUAAUUAAAAAGAUUGGUGGGGAAUAUUAUUUUUGUUGGAAAUAUUAGGGCAGCGGAAACUUACAAACCGGAUAGCCAACGUAUCCAGAAAUUGAAAUCAGAUCGGAUUGUUUGUUUUACAUGCCUUCUUGGAUCGUCCUUGUCUCAAUGCUUCUGAAUCUCCCACGUUUCUCGCCUUCUCCCACGCGUACGUCUUAUGUUACGGAUCGGAUGUGGAUCUGAUGCGACGGAUGUCAAUCGAAGAGAGCUACCAGAGUCCUCUUCUAUGUCCACACUCCAAAACCCAGUGAACGUAGAUGGAAAUCCCAGAGAGGAAGAAGAGAGAUAAAAUUUAUCGUGGAUUCUUUCGAAUUAGAUUGUAUUCGAUCGUCCCUCACCGGAGAGAAAAGGGGGCGUAUUUAUAGAAUAACAGAACCCCUAAAAUAUGCUAAAUCUCAUAAAGAUAUUAGGAUCAGGAAAUCUAUAAUACAUAUCCAAUAGAAGAUACAUUUCUUAACUAAUAAGAAAUGUAUAAUUCAUCCUUAUCCUUAACAUAUUAGGAUAAAUCCUAAUCCACAUCUUAAGUGGAUCGGAUUAAAUUAAGACCUGCCAAUGUGGACACACCACAUGGCAACAAUCUCCCACUUGGCCACAUUGGCCAAUUCUCUAUCACUCGUUCAUCUCUUCAUACGGGCAAUGGGGCGUGCGACCUGACGAACGAAACACAUGCAGGAGUGCUAUAUUAAGUCACCACUCAGCUAACAUAGCACAUCACCGAUUUAAUUCGUCUAUGCCCUAGACGUUUCAACACACAUAGGAUCAAGCAUCAGAAAGUCCCUCUCCCGUAAUGACAGGGCUCGACCCCACCGUUAUUUCUCGUACUCAUGAUUAUCUCAAGUAACACAACCGAGAUAAUCGCCCGGGCAAUGAGUCACAAGACUUACGCAGUGUGUUAUAGAAACAUCUUCCUUAGCCUCUCACGUUAAUCUGUAUCGGUCCAAGUACUUUACUAGACGUGCUCCGCGAGAUCGUAUUUUCCUAUGACCCUGAGAUACACGCUAAGUUAGUUACUUUUGACCUCCACUUCAUAACGUAGUUCUAAGUCAAGGACACAAAAGGGUUAGUGAUCACACAGUGACAUGGAGGGAAGAACUUAUGUCACUCUACUAACUGGUCGACAAGCACAUACAGUAUGAUAUGUAUGCUAUGGCGGAGCUUCCACUCAAUGGGUCAUGUCACGCUCUAAAAAAAACGCCAUACGAACCUUGGUCUAAGUACCACUAAGGUAUCUAACCACCACAACUUAAGUCAUCUCUCUAACCUAAGCACUUAGGUUCGGCUACUAUACAGGCUUGAUAUGAAAUUUCACAGAAAAAUUUCAUAUCCGACUCUUUAGAGUCUCAUCUUAAACUAAUUAAGACGACUUUAAAUUAUAUCAACACUUCAUUCAUAAUGUAUAUGAACAAAGUAAUCAUAUUACAACUAUUCAAGUUUAAUAUGAUUAUCUAGUCUCAUCCUGCUCACCAUCUAGGUGCCAGGGCGAUCACCAGUGUGAGUGGGCCGAUCAGAGCCUGGUGACUUAUCGAACAUGUAUCUACUAUUAUCAAUUAUGCAAUCACAUUUAAAGGAGAAAAACAUAUUUUCAUUAAUAAAGCGUAAGAUACAAAAUAAUGUCCAUUCAUCAAACCCUGCGAAGACCCAAACUCCUAACGUUGGUCGGGAACAUCUCCCUAGCUAUCGGCUUAGUCAAUAGAUCAGCGACCAUCCUAGUGGUGGAGAUAUGUCUAAGAACGACCUUGCCUAGCCUAAUCAUCUCUCGAAUGUAGUGAAAAUGAAUAUCUAUAUGCUUGGUCCCGCCAUGCUACUCGGAGUCUUUCACAUACUCCAUGGCAGCCAUGCUGUCAGAGAAUAUCUCAACAGGUUCAUCAGCUCGAAUCACAAAGUCGAGGUGCUGGAGAAAUCUCCUCAGCCAAACAGCCUCCUAAACGGCUUCUGAUCAAGCAACAUACUUCGCUUCCAUAGUAGACAAGGCAACGCGGCCUUGCUUCUUACUGUACCAGAAAAUUACGCCGCCUCCAAACACAUAGCCUGAGGUGGACCCGUACUCAUCUCUAUCACCGCCAUAACUAGUAUUGCUAUACCCUUUCAAUCUCAAGUCCCCAGCUUGAAAGUAUAGGACGAGAUCACUGGUUUCUUUUAAAUAUCGAAGGAUUAAUUCUCUUGACCGCUUGCUAAUGAAUAGGUUCUCGGUUGCUCUGGUAACGACUUACCAAACCAACAGCGGAGCAAAUGUCAAGUCGAGUACACAUCAUAGCGUACAUCAAGCUUCCAAUUGCACUCACAUAAGGAACCCUACUCAUUUGUUCAUUUUCUUUAUCCGUUUUAGGGCACUGAUUAAGACUCAGAGUGUGAUUCUUCUCCACUGGAGUGUCAACAGGUUUACAAUGAUGCAUCCUAAAACGCUCUAGAAUUCUUUUAAUAUAAGUUUCUUGAGACAAGCCAAGAAGCUUUCUAGAGCGAUUACGGAUGACCUUCACUCCGAGCACAUGGUUCGCCUUACCCAUGUCUUUCAUUUCAAAGUUGAGAGACAACCACUCCUUAGUGGUAUUGAUUAACUCCAUGUCAUUUCCAGUCAAUAGUAUAUCGUCGACGUAUAGAGAGAGAAGCAAAAUUUCAUUCUCUGUCUUCUUGACAUAUACACAGUGGUCCUCCUCUAUCAUGGACAUACCGAUAGAGGUGAUGGCUUCAUGAAACCUGAAAUACCACUGUCUCGACGAGUUCUUAAGACCAUAAAUGGAUCUUUUAAGACGACAAACUUUGUCUUCUUGACCUUUGAGUACAAAACCCUCAGGUUGAUCCAUAUAGAUCUCCUUCGCUAAUUCUCCAUUGAGAAAAACUGUCUUGACAUCCAUUUGGAACAAUUCCAAAUCUAGGUGUGCCACUAAGGCUAGAAUCAAACGAAUAGAGGCAAAUCGCACAACGGGAGCAAACGUCUCAUUGUAAUCUAUCCCUUGCUUCUGAGUGUAGCCCUUGGCCAUGAGCCGAGCCUUGUAUUUAUCGAUUGAUCCAUCCGCCUUGCGCUUAAUUUUUAAAACCCAUUUAUUUCCAAUAGACUUGCGCCAAGGCAGAAGGUCAACCAACUCCUAUACUUGGUUCUUGCUCAUGGAGUCCAUCUCAUCUUUCAUAGCAGCCAUCCACUCACUGCAAGCUAACGUCUGCAGUGCUUCUUUAUAAGAAGCAAGUUCAUCAUCAUCGAGCGGAGUGCACAUGAAAAUAUCCCCUUCGAUCUCAAAAUGUUGACGGGGAAUAUGUCCACGUUCACUUCUACGUAAUUGAGGGUCUGAAUUGUCGACUUCCAAGGGUAUGCUCUCAUUUAAGGAAGCACUCCCACUAGCCGGAGGAUCGCUACUACUUCCUUCAGCGACUUCGGAAAGUGAUCGAUCAUCCUCAAUAGCAGAUGGAGUAGCGUCGUCUUGUAACUCAUACUAUCCGACGUCUCUUCGCAUUUCACCAAUGCUUGAAAAAUCUCUUUCUAGGAAUUCCAUAUCACGAGACUCAAUCUCGGUCAUACCACUAUCUGGGUGUUCAUCAUACAUCACAUAACCCUUCGAAUUUUCAGGGUAUCCGAUGAACACAUGCUUGCUCGCUUUAGGGCGGAGUUUCCCGAAUCUACGUGAGGGGCUGUGAACAUAUCUAGCUGAACCCCAAGGGCUUAAGUAGUGUAAACUUUGUUCUUUACCACUCCACAACUCAUAUAGAGUAGAAGGCACUAAUUUGCUAGGGACUCGAUUAAGGAUCUAGGCUGCAAUCAAAAGGGCAUCUCCCCAAAAAUUUAUGGGAAGUUGCGCUUGCCCCAUCAUCGACCUAACUAUGUCUAAUAGAGUACGGUUCCUUCGCUCUGCAACACCAUUUUGUUGCUGAGUACCUGGAAUAGUGAACUGUCUACUAAUGCCCUUUUGCUCACAAUAAGUCUUGAACUGAUCAGACAAGUACUCACGACCUCGGUCAGUGUGAAGCACCUUUACACUUCUUUCUAUUUGAUUCUCAGCCUCAGCAACAAAGCGCUUGAAGCAAUCUAAAGCUUCAGAUCGGCGAGAAAGCAAAUACACAUAUCCAUAACGGGAAUAAUCAUCAAUGAAUGUGAAAAAAUAGCACGCACCAUGCCGGGCCCUCACAUUCAUUGGCCUACAAAUGUCUGAGUGAAUUAGCUCUAAAGGAUGAGAGGCACGAGUAGCCUUACCGAAAGGCUUUCUACAUGCCUUCCCAGCCAGACAAGGCUUGCACACAGAUAGGUCAACUUUGGCGAGAGACCCCAAAAGGCCUUCUCGAGCCAGUCUAUUCAUUCUAUUUUGACCUAUAUGACCUAAUCUGACAUGCCAUUUAACGGAUUCAUCACAGAGAUUAGAAGAAGAAGAAGAAACAAAUGCAAACGAAUCAUCCUCCAAAUCUAAUUUAAAGAAACCAUCAACUAAUGUAUCAUAUUUAAAUAAAGUACCAUGAAAGGAAAUAUCAAGGUUGUCUUUGUCAAAAUGGCUCUACAAAGCUUUCCAACUCCACCGUGGGGAGCUUGAUUUCAUUUCUUCUGCGCUCCAUUGUUGUGACGGAGCGUGCAAUAAGAGCGACAGAACGGUUUGCUUCCAAGCGCUCUGCCUCGAGCUCGAGAUGACGCGAGAUGUUAUUAAACGUUUUAAUAUUCUCGCUGUGUGUCAUCAGGAGCUUCAUCUAGGACCAUUCAGGAUCAGGCAGUGAACGGAUCACUGCUAGAACUUGUUGCUCAUCAGUGAGCUCGUUUCCAGCAAUCUUAAGGUCCCAAAUCAUGGUGCUCAUCACACGAAGGUGCUCAGCCAUUGAAUGCUUCGGGUCUUUAAUAUACUAUAGAAACUUGAGAUUUAAGGCACGUAGCCUCUGUAAGGUACCGAACUUCUGUUGUAAGGUACUGAACUUCUAAAAUUAUGCAGUUACGGUGGAUGUAGUAUGCUGGAUUUUAAAUAUAAAAAUAAAUAUAAAUAAAAAUAGUGUGAGAUACUAUUUUUAUUGAAUUUAAGGGUGUAAAGUAUAAGUUGGAAAUGACCUGUGCUGAAAUCGGAGCGAAAACAGAAGAUUUAGAAUUUUCUGUGAGAGACGGGGCAGAUAAAUUAGUAGAAAAUGCACAGUGUCAGAAAAUUAUAAAAACUAGAGAAUAUGUCAGAAUUAUUUUUAUGAGGCUAGAUUUAAAGUUCAUACCAUUCUGACGCCCGAAAAGUGGAAAAUAAAAUCCGAUUGCUAUCUGAUAAAGAUUACAGUUCGGUACAGCUUUCGGUGACCAAACAUGGUCGAAACUGAAAGAUUAAAAUUUCUUUGGACUUAUUAAGUAAAACCGAGCCUGCCUGUCAAAUUUGAGCGCAAACGGACGUUCAGAAGGGCCCCGACGAAAAAUGUCAGUUUUAAACCGCUGAAGUGAAUAGUGUUUUGGGGGAGUUUACUUGGAGGUGAAGUUUCCUCCUAUAUAUAUAUAUAUAUAUAUAUAUAUAUAAGGGUGUUAUGUCAUUUCCCUCAUUCCUCUCUACUUGAGCCAACAUAAGAGAAAUCUCUCUCUCUCUCUCUCUCUCUAGGAUUGGCUCCAAAGUGUGGAGUUUGGUAGAGAAAAGCUUACUUAGAGGUGAAGCUUUCUUUUUCUUCACCAUUGGUUUGAAGAGAGCUUGGGUUUGAGAGGUAAGCUUUGAUAGCAACAAUGGUAGAUUGCUAAGUAGUGAUUUGUAUGCCUUAGAAAUGGGUUUAGUGAAACUCCUAGAUGCUAAAUAGAUGGUUGAUGCUCGAAUUUAGAGAUCAAAUAAUGAAUUCUUGCAUAGUUGCAUCUUAGGGCAUCAAAAGAGAGGUUUUGCUUGGGAGGGGUUUUGAUCUAAAUUGAUCAUGUAUAAACCUAAUUGCUAGGUUUUCUGACGCGUUGGCGAAGUCUGUUCGGCGGUACGACGAGGCUACGUGAAGAUAUUAAAGAACGAAGCCGUUAAGGUACAGAUUGCCGCAGCUCGUGGCGAAAGCUUCCAAAAAUCACAAAAUCGGAACCCUAGCCUCGUGAUAGCGAUAAAAGGUGGGGGGUGUCCAUCCCGAAGCAACUGGACUUCCUUCUAUGUCUGAGUUAGAUUUUUGGUCAUAUUGCACAUAUGGUUUUUAUGCAUUGUAGGAUGUAUGUAUUAUUACAUUUCUACUUUCCUUGCAUGCAUGUCUAGUUGUGUAGUAUUAUGGACUUGACACCUAAAUCUAGAAUGCAUGAGGAUUAGGAUUGUGACAUGAGAUCCUAUAGUGAUAAGAGAACGGUGAACUCGGACUUGAUGAUGAAAACUAGUGACAUGCGAACUAGUGUAUAAAAAACACUAUGACUUGGACGAGUGGCAUGUAAACAAUGUUAACAACAUGACGAGUGGCAUUGGAACUUAGUGUAAUAAAAACACUUGUGGCAUUGAGCAUAGGGAAUAGGUGAGUUUUCCUAAUCGUGGCAUAUUGCAUGAGAUUAGUGUAAUUGAGACACUAUGGCAUCAAACAUAGGGAUAGUUCAAUUCCCUAGUGUGAGUUGAUUAGUGUGGUUGAGACACUUGACAUGGACCUAGGGAUAGGUGAGUUUUCGAGUGUUUGUUAACUUAGUUGACAGGGUAUCCUCAAUUGGCGAGGAUUGGAUCAUACUCACAUAGUUUGUUUUGAGCUUGUGGUGGUCGUUCCACACAAGCAGUGCACUCCGGAGUUGUCACACGAGCUGGGUAGCUCACGAGCGGGGUAGCUCACUGGGUGGGAUACGAGCGGGGUAGCUCCUCACCCAUUGGACUGGGAAGUGAGUUGGGGCGAAUGGCGGGGUAGCCCUUCCCCUAUAAGGAUUGAGCGGGGUAGCUCAUUACUUAUGAGAAUUGAGCGGGGUAGCUCAUUACCUAUGAGAUUAGAGCAUGGUAGCUCUUCAUCUAUGACCUUUGAGAUGUGAGACGGGUGAGAUAAGAGCGGGGUAGCUCCUCACCUAUGAGAUUUGAGAUAUCAGUCAGGGCGAAGAGCGGGGUAGCUCUUCACCUCUUUACCUACUAGAUUGUGGUGUAAGUACCUAUGAGAUUUGAGAUCUUAGGCGGGGUAGCCUAGUGGAUUGGGUAAUGAUAUGAAUAGCAUGAGUGGAUUUGCAUUCAUCCCUUGAUUAGACAUAGUGUAUAUUAGUGGAUUGCAUAACUAUGUUGUAUUUGUGUUCAUUACAUUGUUGAAGCAUAUUAUCAUGAUAGUAGGCUUAUUGCUAGACGAUAUUUCAUGCAUUGCUUGCAUUUGAUGGCACAAUAGAUCAUAGUUGCAGUUUAAUAUCUAUCUAUCUCUCUAUCUAUCUAUUUGUGCCAGCUUAGACCUAGUGGGAAGAUCGGCGGAGUCGGCGGCCGAACCCACUGGGAACUAUAUUUAUAUAGUUCUCACCCCGUGUGAUUUUGGGGUACAGGUACACACGUGAGCGGGCCGACAGGUGAUCGCGGUAAGGGCGUAGCGCCCUAGCUAGCUAGUUGUGGCUUUCCUUUUGUAUUAGAGUACCCUCGUGUACAUAGGUGACAUGGUUGUAUUUUGGAGAGUACAUUGUACCUAGAUGCAUGUGAGUGGAAUAUGUAUUCAUUUUGGGUGAUGAUGAAAAUAUAAAUGUAAUCAAAGAUGUAAAAGUGGAAUGUGAUGUAAUAGCUAGAUGUAUCUCUCUUUAUGCACUUGUAUAUAUACUUGUGUUACUUGCUCUUGUUGUAUUGCACUCUUCGUGCUUCUCUCCUUGUUGGAUCGUGCAUGUAUUGAAUUAUCCCUGGGCAAAUUCUUUGUACAUGAUCUUGUGUUGAGCCUUAGGCGGACAGGGGAGGUGCUGUCCGUCCGGGGUCUGUUCGACGCGCCCGAACCGAACCAAAUGGGUAGCGGGGCGGGGCAUGACAGCCUCGUAGAUGAAGUUUGACCAAAAGUAAUCUUCAGGUUGUCCCACAUGUCCUUGGCAGUUUCAAAGAUCUCAAAUUGUCCAAUGAGGUCGUCUUGCAUGGCACACAACAUAGUGUACCGAGCAGUUCGAUCCUCCUUGAUCCAUUUGUUAUAAAUCUCUUUUUCAUGCUCAGAAGCUGUGCUUUCGGCAGGCAUGACUCUUUUGACAGAAAGAGUUUCAAGAACCCCUUGUUCAUUAAGCAAGUAUUGCAUUUUUCUAUGCCAAAUAUCAUAAUUCUUUCCAUCUAGCUUAUCAUCCCUGGUGAGAUCAGCUAUAAUGUUUUUGGAAGUCAUUUCACUACAUUCAAAAAAAUAGGUUUCGACAUUAGGCACAUAUUCUAAAAAUUAACAAGAUUGAAACAUUAUCCUCGACACAACGGGAUCAAAAACUUCGCUAUGCUUGUAAUCAUUACCCAGUGUCGGCUCAAAAUAUUACAAUCUUAUUAAUUAAUUUUGGAACUUAUCCAAAAGUUGGAACUUAUCCAUUUUAAAAGAACACAUCCUUUUCAUUAAAAAAAUAUUUAUACAUGGUGAACUUAUUUCAUAAUAUCAUCACACAGAUAAAAAAUAAGUACUUAUGCCAAAAUUUAAUUUGAAAAACGUUGAUGCUGCGCAAAACACAGUCCUUCACAUGGUCUUAAUUAUUACAUCACCUUUUGCAUAAUAAAACCUACUACAUCACUAUAAGAUGUACAUCAGAAAAGGAAUGUUCUACAGGAAUGCUGCACACGUCGAACCCAUUUUUCCAAAAUUAAAUUUUGUUGAAAAAUAUCGAAAUAACAUAAGUACUUAUAUACACAAUCACGCAAUUACAAUAUGCUAAAUAAACAUUUAAAAUUCACCCACAUAGCAUAAAUUAAACAAACAACACGUGUUAUAUAAGCAUAAGAUUAUAUAUAUAUAUAUAUAUAUAUAUAUAUAUAUAUAUAUAUAUAUAUCCCAAAAAAUAACCACACAGGAAAGUAUAUAUACAUUUUUUAUUUUAAUGGGCAAAAAAUAAAAAAUACUGCGUGAGCACAGUCAGGCCGAACAGAGGCUGCGUCCGCAUGAACAUCGAGCCGGGCCGGGCCCACAAGCCCGCCCGAGCCCUUGCGGCGCGCAAUGGGCCGGGCCGUGGCCAGAAACCCGCUCGAAUCCCGCAAGGGCCGCGCCCCUGCACGCAACAGGCCGGGCCGGGCCUGCAAGCCCGCCCGCAGCGCGCGGGUCUUCCCGCGCCCGUGGCGGGUUGGGUCAAGCUCGAAGCCCGCUCGCAGAGCGCGCGGGUAUACGCCAGCGGCAGGCUAGGCUAGGCCCGAAGCCCGCGUGCGGGCGCGGGGUACGCGUCAGCGCCUGCAGCGAGCUGGGCAGGCCCGAAGCCCACGCGCGCGGGGCACGCGGGUACGCGUCCGCAUCCAUAAUGGGUCAGGCCUGCGCGCAGGUACUGCGCGUGGGUGCGCCCCCCGCGCACGCAAGGCGCCAAGCCCGCGCAUUGUGCGCGGGUGCGCGCCUGCGCCUAGGGCUGGCAAAUGAGCGAGCCGACUCGUGUUCGACUCGAUAUUUGGCUCGCUCGAGCUCGACUCGAAAUUAAAUGAGCCGAGCUUGAACAAAAAGAAAGCUCGAAAUUCAUUUCAAGCCGAGCUUGAGUAUUACUUGGCUCAUUAGAAUUAGGCUCGAAAAGCUCGAAUAUAUAUAUAUAUAUAUAUAUGAGCAGGGCUGCUGUGCUCUCAGGAGCACAGAGGCCUCCGUGCUCCUGAGCCGUUUUCGAUGAUGGAAUUUUCGAAUCGACGAUCAGUUCCGUUAGACUUGAUCUAGCGCAUUUGAAGUUUCUAGAAAAUAAUUUUUGCGAUUUUUCGAUAUCAUUUACCUAGUGAUCGAAAGGAUUCAAAAUCCAUAAUUUUUAAUGGUUGAUAUAUGCCGUUUUCAAAUUUAACGGUGUAGAAGUAUUCAAAUCAGAUGAAAUUUUGAUAGAAAAUUCUUUAUUUUAUCUACAACAAGAUCUAUAUUUCUGAUCGAAAAUUUUAGUACUAUAUCACCACUUUUUAUAGGAUUUUUAUUUUCAGCCGUUAAAAAUUAUUGAUUUUGAAUCCUUUCGAUUGCUAGGUAAAUGAUAUCGAAAAAUCGCAAAAAUUAUUUUCUAGAAACUUUAAAUACGCUAGAUCAAGUUUAACGGAGCCGAUCGUCGAUUCGAAAACUCAAUCAUCGAAAACGGCUCAGGAGCACGGAGGCCUCCGUGCUCCUGAGAGCACAGCAGCCCUGCUCAUAUAUAUAUAUAUAUAUACUAUGCUAUCGAAAGUAUAGAGGAUCUGGUGUUUUCGAUUUUUUGAUUCUUAGAUCAACUCCUUUAAUCAUUUCUUAUUUUUGGAUUAAUACUAUUAUUACCUUGUAAGAACCACUCAAUCCUAGGAGUAUUAUUUAAUCCUAGGGGGGAUCGCAAUCAUCCCAACCAUACAAUUCUUAAUCAAAGGGUCAAAAAUUCGAAAAUAUCAAAUCCUUUAUAUUUUUAAUAGUAUAGUAGUUCUACAUUAUAUAUAUAUAUAUAUAUAUAUAUAUAUAUAUAUAUAUAGAGUAGGACUGCUAUGCUCUCAGGAGCACGGAGGUCUCCGUGCUCCUGAGCCGUUUUCGAUGAUGGAAUUUCCGAAUCGACGAUCGGCUCCGUUAGACUUGAUCUAGCGCAUUUGAAGUUUCUAGAAAAUAAUUUUUGUGAUUUUUUGAUAUCAUUUACCUAGUGAUCGAAAGGAUUCAAAAUACUUAAUUUUUAAUGGUUGAUAUAUGCCGUUUUCAAGUUUAACGGUGUAGAAGUAUUCAAAUCAGAUGAAAGUUUAAUACAAUAUUCUUUAUACUAUCUACAACAAGAUCAAUAUUUCUGAUCGAAAAUUUUAGUGCUAUAUCACCACUAACACUUUUAUUUUCGGCCGUUAAAAAUUAUUGAUUUUGAAUCCUUUCGAUUGCUAGGUAAAUGAUAUCGCAAAAUCGUAAAAAUUAUUUUCGAGAAACUUCAAAUACGCUAGAUCAAGUUUAACGGAGCCGAUCGUCGAUUCGGAAACUCCAUUAUCGAAAACGGCUCAGGAGGACGGAGGCCUCCGUGCUCCUGAGAGCACAGCAAUCCUGCUCUCUAUAUAUAUAUAUAUAUAUUAAAAAAUAUAUAAAUAUAAUAUAUUUUAAUUAUAUAUAGGCUGAGUGAAUAAUCUGAGUUUAGUUAAAAUUAGGCUAAUGUUGUUGGCCCAUAAAAACAAACCUAAUAGACAAAUAAAAGAGCGAAAUUUCACUAAAUUUAUACAUUUUUCCUUUCUUUCUUUCUUGCACAGAGCUUAAAUUUUCAAUAUGUUUCGCACUUCCUCUUUUUCUGUCUCUCACCCUAAGUGGCCAAGCCGGAAGCCCUCCAAGUUACCAAGUAACAGCAUAUGCCCGUCGUUGCCUACCUUGCUAUUAAUUGUAUGCUUGAGAAAAUAUACAGAAUAUUUUUAAAGUAAAAAAUUAUUAUUCAUAUAAAAUUUUAAUUUUAGUUAUAUAUGAUUGGAUAGUUUAAUCCAAUAUUUAUCUAUAUAAUUUAUUUAUUUUUGACUGCAUAAAUGAAAAUGAAUAAUAUGGAGAUUGAAGGCGGAAGAAAAGACAUGUGAGGCUGAAAAGAUUAGAUAUUCAACUCAUAAAUUAUUUUUUUUCAUAUUAUAAUACUAUAUUUCAUAUAAUUAUUUUGUACUUUGAACUAUUAGACAUAUUUUUGUAUCAAAUUAUAGAUAAUGUUCUAUACAAAUUAAACUAUUGAUCGUAUAAUGUUGAGAAUUUCAAGCGGCUCGUUUAGGGCUCGAGCUCGCUCGACUUGAAAUUAGGCUCGCUCGAGCUCGGCUCGAAUUAAUUUCAAUCCAAGCUUGAGCUUAAAUUUAGGCUCGAAAUUAAUUUCAAGCCGAAUUUGAGCCGAGGUAAGCUCGCUCGAGCUCGGCUCGUUUCCACCCCUACCUGCGCCCUCUGUCCCCAGUCGCAGCAGGCCGGGCCUGCGCGCUGCGUGCGAGUGCGCCCUCCGUGCACCCAGCGGGCCGGGCCCCCUCGCACCCAGCGGGCAUGCGCUCGUCUACGCCUCUGCGCUUGCAACGUGCCGGGCCCGAGCGUUGUGCGCUGGUAGGCGCCCGCGCACGCGCCCGUAGCUGGUCGGGCCUAUGUGUCCGCCACGGUGCGUGGGUGCGUGUCUGCUUGCCCUGUGGGGGCUGGGUCGGCACGGCGCCCUCCUGUGGCGCGCGGGUGCAUGCACGCGCGCCUGCAGCAGGCUGGGCCGGCCUAUCGCGUAGUGCGCAUCAGCAGCUGCAAUAAUUUUAUUUUAUUUUAAUCUAAUCAUGAAAAUAGAAAGGAAUACAACUUAUGUAAAAUUAAAAAAAUCGCUUAUUUUAUGAUCCAUUUUAAGAGAAAACUAAAGCUAAUUUAGUUUUUCUUUUCUUUCCUUUUAAUCAAUUUCACAUAGAAAACAAAAAAAAAUUGUAGAACUAAUCUACAUAAAAAAAUUGAUCAACGAAUGCGAUCCAAAACACACGCAUCACAGGCUCUGAUAUCAAUUGUUGGAAAUAUUAGGGCAGUGAAAACUUACAAACCGGAUAGCCAACGUAUCCGGGAAUCGAAAUCGGAUCGGAUUGUUUGUUUUACAUGCCUUCUUGGAUCGUCCUUGUCUCGAUGCUUCUGGAUCUCCCACGUUUCUCGCCUUCUCCCACGCGUACGCCUUACGUUACGGAUCGGAUGCAUAUCUGAUGCGACGGAUGUCAAUUGAAGAGAGCUACCAGAGUCCUCUUUUAUAUCUACACUCCAGAACCCCGGAAACGUAGGUGGAAAUCCCAGAGAGGAAGAAGAGAGAUAAAAUUUAUCGUGGAUUCUUUCGAAUUAGAUCGUAUUCGAUCGUCCCUCACGGGAGAGAAAAUGGGGCGUAUUUAUAAAAUAACAGAACCCCUAAAAUAUCCUGAAUCUCACAAAGUGAUUAGGAUCAGGAAAUCUAUAAUACAUAUCCAAUAGAAGAUACAUUUCUUAACUAAUAAGAAACGUAUAAUUCAUCCUUAUCCUUAACAUAUUAGGAUAAAUUCUAAUCCACAUCUUAAGUGGAUCGGGUUAAAUUAAGACCCGCCAAUGUGGACACACCACAUGGCAACAAUUUUUAUAUACUGUUAAUGAAAUAAUAUAGCUUAUUUAUUGUGAAUAAAGUAGAUUAUAUAUUAUAAUCAAUAUAAGAGUUUUCAAAACAUUUCUUUUCUGUUGUUGAGAAAAGAGUUUUUAUUUUCUAAAAAAAACUCAAACCACUAUAAUAGCAUAUUUUAUGUUUAAUAAUUAAAUAAAAAAAGAGAAUGAGAAAAUAAAAGUACAUGCAUAUGGGUAGAGGAUGACAGACGCUGUAGGUACGGAGAGCUCAAGACCCUGAUUAAAGAAAUAAUGAAAGCACAUGAGAACAAAAUUCAAAAAACUAAAAAGAGAAUGAUAAUAUGAAAAAGAAGAGAGAAAUAAAGACAGAGAUAUAGUAAAAGAAAAAAAAAGACAGAGAUGAUGGUCCAUCUUUUCGGUGGGCCCACACUCCUAAAUUAAAAAGAUGACAGUCCAUCUUCUCGGUAGGACUUAUACGCCCAAAUGUAAAGAGAUGACUGUCCAUCUUCCAAAAAAAUAAAAAGAAGAAAAAUAAAAACAGAGGUAUAGUAAAAGAAAAAAAAUAUAAAAAGACAGAGAUGAGGGUCCAUCUUCUCGGUGGGGCCCACACUUCUAAAUUAAAGAGAUGAGAGUCCAUCUUCUGAGUGGGGCUCAUACACUCAAAUGUAAAGAGAUGACUGACCAUCUUCAAAAAAAAGAAAAAAGAAAAAAGGAAUCUAGUCAAUUUAAAAAAAAAACAAAAAAAAGAGAAAAAAAGACAGAGGUAUAGUAAAAGAAAAAAAAAAUAAAAAGACAGAGAUGAGGGUCCAUCUUCUCGGUGAAGCCCAAACUACUAAAUUAAAGAGAUAAUAGUCUAUCUUCUCGGUGGGGCUCAUACGCCCAAAUGUAAAGAAAUGAUUGUCCAUCUUCUAAAAAAACAAAAAGAAAAAUAAGGAAUCUAAUCAAUUUUAAAAUUUAGGCUAUAUCGGCACAAGGCCAUGGGGAUUAAUAAUAGUUUAUAGAUCUUCCGAAAAAACAAAAAGAAAAAUAAGGAAUCUAAUCAAUUUUAGAAAAAGUAAUUAUAAAAAUUAGGGGGAUCCACACUCCGAAAUUAAGGGGGUUAGGUCACGUCAGCAUAAGGCCAUGGAAAUUAAUAGUAGUUUAUAGAUAGAUUAUAGAUUCUUUCAUUUUAGGUCUUUAAUUAAUAAUGUAUAUAUUUAUAUAAAACUAAGCUGGAAUACUAUUAAUAGCACCUAGCUAUUAGUGCUAGGUCUUCGGUCCUUGGAUAAAAAAUUAUACAGUUAGGAUGAUGUGGACUCCUUUUGAGUUGAGUGAGUUAUUGGUUGAAUAAUAUAAUCUAACAGGUGAAAGUAGUCAAAGAGUUAAAUCUAACGGCGGAAAACUCGAUAGCACCAAACGCUUGGUGCUAUUGAUAGUAUUCCAGCUGGACUCUCUCUCUCUCUAUCUUUCUCUCUCUCUAUAUAUUUAUUUACUUCCAACAUUUUUUUAAUAAAUUAUGAUCUUUUACUUAUCAAAUUAUAUAAAUUAGUGUUUUAAAAAAUAAAAAGAACGACAAAGAUACCGUAUAUAGAGAAUCUAAACUAAUUAGCAUAAAUAACAUAAAAAAGGAAAAAAUGGUUUUUAAUUAUACUAAAAAGUUAAAGUUGAUGCUGCCUAAGUUGUGCUGCUCAUAUCGUUAAUACGUCAUCAUCAGUGUGGGAAGGUUUUUAAUUACUCGGUACACGACUACACGUACACGUUGUAGAAACACCAUAUAAAAUUGUUCCUAUCCUAGACAUUUCCAACUUUAAAACGGUCCAUUUGUAGGUAUAGUUGUGGGCGUUGUACAUCUUCACCUAUAAUCUUUGAAGAAGUUAAUAGAAAGAGCAAAGCAUAUGCAAGUACGCAGGGAUGAAGCUAGCACUCGAUUAUGAGGGGACCAAAGUACAUAAAAUCAAAAUUUUAGCAAAUAAAUAAAAUUUAUUGUUGGAAUAAUAAUCCAAACUUAAUUAAAAUAUAAUUAGAGAUAUUUUAAAUUUUUUAUUUGAUUAUAAUUAGGUUAUGUAAUUAUCCAAAGUAAAAUUAGGUUUAUCAUCUGUUAGGAUUUGAUAGUUAUGGUGAGGACUGAGAAUUCGGCUGUAUAGCUAAACUCUUUGUUGACGAUAUUUUCUGUAUAAUUUAAUUACAUAAACAUUCGUCAACUUACUGGAGAAAACGAGUUGGGAUGGAGAAGUUACGCAACCUUUAGUAAUCACUUAAAAUAAAUAGUAACUAGGGUUUUCUGAAGAGGCCAAUCAGUAGAGAUGGUUUCUGGUGUGUUUUGGACUCCUUCAUACUAAUCCAAUAGCUCGUUUUCAAUAGCUCGACUGUCCUGGACCCAAUGGCACUUAUGGAUUUGAAUUUUGAUGUACGAUUUUCGAGAAAAUGGAAUUUUAUCACAAAGAGGAUUUUUAUUUCUUGUUGUUCUUGCAUUGUAAAACUUCUCGUGCUCCGUGCGUGUGUCCUGGAGUAGAGUGGAGGAUGUUUCAGGUACUUACCAGUGGUAGGAAAUUCAAAUUCAAACUUGAAUUUGAGGUUUAUUGGAUUUACACAUAUAUAUAUAUAGGUGUGGUUUUUGGAAAAUUGGAGAGUGGAUAGGAUUCGUCGCAAAUCGGCGACCAUAUCGGACGAAAUAAAAUUGUGAGUUCGAUGUCCCGGUCGUGCUAAACGCGCUGGCGUAGUCCAUUUGCAAAUCUGAAGGACGGAUCUACCGAAAAUUCAAAAGUGUUCGUAAAGUGGUCAAAAUUGGCAAAACGGAAAAUCUGCAAAACACCCUAUAUUUUAUGUAUCGUUUUGCGUGAUUUCAAACGUGGAGGUACAUCCGCGCAUUUUAGUCGCGCUGUGAGGGACUCGGCUGAAAAUAUCUAACUUCGGUGGGCAUAACUCCAAAUACGCCACCUUAUAUAUUUGAGCUAACUAGGGUUUUCAUGGAAGAAAACCCUAGCCUAUAGCUCGAGUUGCCACCAGUCACCUCCCUGUCUUUCCCCUGCCCUAACCGCGCGGGCCCCGGCCGCCUGCGCAUGCCACUGGCCGUCGAAGUUGGCCGCUCCUCCCGCUCCUCCAUCACCUCCACCUUCCACCACCUUUGUCCAAGCUGCAACUUGGAGAGGCCCCUCACCCUCGGGCUCCAUCCCUCGACGUGCCCUGACCUUCGGUGACACUCCUCUGCUGGUCGCGGCCAUCCCCGCGCGCCGCCGCUGCCGCCUUGGUAGCUUGCGGCCAAGCCGAGCAGGCUUGGGCCGAGGUUAUCUCUUCUCCUGGCACGUGUGCCACCGCCGCUGGGGACCACCUUGGCUGUCCUCCCUCGACCCUCGGCGACCUCCCUAGCCGAUCGCCGCCGUCCUUGCGCAUCGCCGCCGCCGCCCCUGGCAGCCUGCGGCCGCCUCGGAUCAGCUCAGGCCGAGGCCGGGUACUCUUUUUCCCCUCGUGCUUACGCCGCCUAGGGCCAGCCACGCAACCUCCCUCCGGCCUCCGGCGACCCACCACCGUCGUCCCGUAACUCCCCGGCCGCCGCCAAGGCCGCGGUGAGCUUUCGAACCCGGCACCCGUGUGGGCGUGGAUUGUUCCGCCGCCGUCGCCGUCGCCUCUUGCCGCCGACCAACGCGAGCCUCGGCCCCCACCGACCAGCCGCACCUACCUGCAGCCGGUGCGCCCGCCGGUCGGCCGCCGACGGCCAUGCCCUAGCUCCCCUUGGUCCGAUAAGCUUUUUAUAGUUGUUUUGUGCAUCAUUUCGGGUUCGGGUGGCUGUUCCGGCGACCUGAGGCCACCCCGAAGCUGUCGGAAGUAAGCAAGAUGAUCCUUGAUCGGUGCUGAUCAUCAUUCUCAUCUUCUCUGGGGUCAGACAGCACCUGGUUUACGAGAUAAGUGCUAUCUCUACACAGUGCCCGCAGUUUGCAGGUCUUCGAGUCGCUACCGUGCCCUCCACAGUGGACGGCCAUGCUCCGGAUCGUUAGCACGACCUCUGGCACAUCGAGACCUACCAGCGUGUGUCUCGGCCAGCCUAAAAAACUCUCGAUUUGUGCUGUCGAACCAUAAAACCCCGAAAAUCACAUAAAAUAAUGUGAUUUUAUGUGAUUGUAGGAACUUUUAUGCUAAUGUGCACUUCGUGGCUACUGUGGACAGUGUGUGCAGGUGACGAGUGAUGUCUGGAUUGGUUGUCCAAGGUUCGAGGCCUUCGCGGAAAUCGAAUAUCGAUUUUCGGUGCGUUUUUCGACGAAAUUUGCCGACAGAACGUUGUUUCAAUUUGGAUUUCUUCCGACGAUGCCUUACUGUAUAUUACUUUAUCGUUGAGCCUUAUUGGCUCGUUACUUACGUCAUUCCAAGGGUGUGGAGACGACGGGUGAGCGACAGUGGGUUUCGGUGUCGAAAUUGACACUUUCGGGAACUCGUAUCAGAAUGGUUAUCCGACGAUAAUCGUUUCGAUGUGAGCUUACGUGUUUGCUGCUAGGACACCUUUAUUAUGGUGUUGUGUGGCAGCGGGUGACUCGUGACGCGAGUCGGUUAGUCCUAGGAUACUUUGUGGGUCCCGGCGGAGUCCCGGUGCAAUUUUCAGGACUCCUGGCAUGUUACGAUAAUCGGUUUUGGAAAACCAAUUCCUGUGGGAUUAAUUGUGGGGUUGUGAGUUUACUAUUUCAUUUAUGUGGGUUGGUUUCUAACCCGGUGGACUCUCCGUAGGUCCAGUUGACGUUCUUCCACGGUCGGUAGACAGGCGCUACACUGGUACAGGUGGGUACUUCGAUCCGAAGUCGGUACAGCGGUGCACGUUCGAUGACAUUCUCUUCACCCUCUCUUUACUACCACUUUGCAUAUCAUGUGAUGAGACUAGCACCCUUUCUAUUUCUUAUUAUUGCUCUACUCGGUUAGUUUGCAUAUUCAGUAUCAUGAUUUAGAGGUAGAGCAGGUUAUCGAUUGUAUUUGAGAUCUAUGACCUAUUCAGUCGGUUCAGUGAUCCUGAUAUUGUGACUUAUUUGGUCGGUUCGGCUACGUGAUGACCUACAUGGUCGGUAUAUCCUGAGGGGUAGGAUUGUCGGCUAAUUGCCGACGGUUGGCUAUUGAGUAUAUCAACAUUGAUCGCCCAAUAUUCGUACGCAUUUUACAAACACCAGCAGUCUGAUCCACUGCUAGGGGGUGUUUUUUUUCGAAAAGUUGUUGGAUAUGCCAACCCGUGAGUCCAGCGGCCUAGUUUGGGUUAUAUGUAGGUAGAGUGGCAGUGGCACAGGCUUGAGGUCUGCGGACUGAUAUGACAGGUUUCUGAUUGUGUAUCUUUAGACUUAUCGUCUGGUUGAUGCAUGCAUACAGUAGCGGUAGUGAUUUAUAUAUAUCAUGUUUCCUCAUUUAUCAUUGCUACUGUAUUACCGUUGUUUAUACUCUUUGUUAUCCUCCUUGACUGGUGAGUACCCCUCGCCCUCGUCGGCUUGCGGUAUCCACUAGGAGGGGAGACAUGUGUAUAUGUUCUCACCUCCGACCCUCUUUCAGGUGACAUUGCUGGUCCCAGUCGGGACGGUACGUGAGGCGCGUGAUUAGUGGUCGUAGAGUAUUUCGGCCCGGUGAUUUACGGUUAAUUCCUGAUCUGUUUCCCCCCAAUAAAGUAACUUAGAUAGUUAUGGUUCAGUUGGUUCUAUUUUAUUUGGAUACAUACAGUUUUGUGAAAUUAAUAAAGUACAUAUGGUUUACUUGUGAGCUUAUGAAAAUGGUUUUCUACCCCUCGUGAUAGCUUGUUUUUAAAUGAAAAGGUUUCUGUGUGUCAAAUGGUUUUAAAAGGGAUUUUUCGAUUUUCAUGAUUCUUAGUAUUUCAAAAUAAGUUUUCGAGUGAGAAACGUUUUAAACUAAUAGAUGUGAAUUUAUAAUGAAAAUACGAUAAACUUGUGAUUGAAUGAAUGUGAAUUGGUUGAUGUGAUGUGGUGAUUGUAUAUGGAUGUUUAUACACUGUGGUUGUAUCUUGUAUUUGUGCGACGCCGUGCAAAUACAGGGGAGACUCUGUCCAUGUGAACAGUGGGUUUUCUAUACUUAUGGCGGAUCUGACAUCCCUUGGGUACAUGGCUUUCAAAAAAAUAAAAACUUGGGCACUUCCGCAUCGAUUUUAAAACUUCAAAGGGACCCCGGGGCGUGACAACUAUAUAUAGAUAGGCAUGGGUUAAUUAGAUGAAAAAAAAGCCACAGUAGACAUGGUUGCAUGGGUGUUGCCCAGAAUAUAAUUAAUCACCUUUUAUUAAUAAAGUAUUAGUUUAGUUAUCUUAUUCCUCCUCCAAUAUCUCUUCUCCAUAUUAUUUUGUUCUAUUUAGAUCUUUGGGCUAUAUAUUAUUUUAUUCUAUUUUAGAUCUUGGGGCUAUAUAAUUAAUCACCUUUUAUUAAUAAAGUAUUAGUUUAGUUAUUGCUUUGAAGAAGUUGGUCUCCCCACAACACAUGACAGCAAGUGGUUGUGAUGCUUGACGAAAAGAGAGCGAGGAGAGCCCGUGAAGUGAUUCAAGAAGACUUGACUAGAUAGCCAGGAGGGCUAGACAAGCAAGCCGAAGUAUAAAAAAUUCGGCAAGAUCUCGAUGAACUAAGGACAUUAUCCAAAUAGAAAGGUACAAAUCUAAAACUUAUUUUUCGGAUUAUCAAGUUUUUGUUAUGGAUUUAGAUAAUUGGUUUAUUCAACUUGGCUUUUCAAAGUUUGAUGGAAUAAUGAACUUUAAACGAUGAAAAAUUAUCGUUCAAUGUUUUUUAGAAUCCGAAGAUUUAUGAGAUGUUGUGGAGAAUAGAAAUUAUGGUAAAGAAUUUGGUAAAGAAGAAUUUAAAAAGAGAGACAGAGAAGUUCUAUCAUAUAUUUUUUAAGCAGUAGAUCUGUUAUUGGUUGAGAAUAUUUCAACGACAAAAACAACACGUGAAGCAUGGAGAAUGCUAGCAAAAAUUGGAGGAGAAGAUUUGCAGGAAG